GCUAGUCAAACCUUGUUCUGCCUGUGCCAUUUCCUUUUUUUUACUUCUCGCCCGAAAUUUCGCUUGAUUGUUUCAAAUCCUCAUUUCAUUUCUCUGUUUUUCAUCGUCCCCUACUCCUGAUUAUUUCUCUUACAUUCUUACGUGACUUUGGCGCCCUUCAAAGCAUUUCACCUAAUCCUGUAGCUAUAGGCAAGCCAACUACCUUCACCAUCUCAGCUUCUACCGGUAUCUAACCAGUCAUUGAACAACUCGAGCAUAUGACCAGGACUUGAUUUUGGUCAUUGAAUUGAAGCGACUACCCCAGAGAUGGACACGACUUUUUUUAGGUUCCAAAGAAAUAAGGAUGGGUACAAUUUUCUAUUUUAGAAAGAAAUAGAAACCAAAAUUCCUUAAACGCUCCGAUUGGGAAAUUGGAUUUGGAUUUUAUUUGCAAUGUAAAUGAUAAAAAAAUAAAAUAUAUACAUUAGAGAUAAAUAGUUAUGAUUCAAUACAAUAUAGUAAAAACGUGGAGUGAA